GUGGGGAAUAUUGGACAAUGGGCGAAAGCCUGAUCCAGCCAUGCCGCGUGUGUGAAGAAGGUCUUCGGAUUGUAAAGCACUUUAAGUUGGGAGGAAGGGCAGUAAGUUAAUACCUUGCUGUUUUGACGUUACCGACAGAAUAAGCACCGGCUAACUUCGUGCCAGCAGCCGCGGUAAUACGAAGGGUGCAAGCGUUAAUCGGAAUUACUGGGCGUAAAGCGCGCGUAGGUGGUUUUGUAAGUUGGAGGUGAAAUCCCCGGGCUCAACCUGAGAACUGGCUCCAAAACUGCAUGACUAGAGUACGGUAGAGGGUAGUGGAAUGUCCUGUGUAGCGGUGAAAUGCGUAGAUAUAGGAAGGAACACCAGUGGCGAAGGCGACUACCUGGACUGAUACUGACACUGAGGUGCGAAAGCGUGGGGAGCAAACAGGAUUAGAAACCCGGGUAGUCC
rnacentral:rRNA from 1 species